GCCCUCACUGCGGGAGAGAUUGGAUUUUCUCCAGCGCCGAAGGAGCAACCGCCCCGGAAACUCUCAGGCAAAAGGACCGCAGUACCGAU
rfam:Devosia epidermidihirudinis strain E84 contig2, whole genome shotgun sequence.